rnacentral:rRNA from 1 species
GAUGAACGCUGGCGGCGUGCCUAAUACAUGCAAGUCGAGCGAACAGACGAGGAGCUUGCUCCUCUGACGUUAGCGGCGGACGGGUGAGUAACACGUAGAUAACCUACCUAUAAGACUGGGAUAACUUCGGGAAACCGGAUCUCAUACCGGAUAAUAUAUUGAACCGCAUGGUUCAAAAGUGAAAGACGGUUUUGCUGUCACUUAUAGAUGGAUCCGCGCCGCAUUAGCUAGUUGGUAAGGUAACGGCUUACCAAGGCAACGAUGCGUAGCCGACCUGAGAGGGUGAUCGGCCACACUGGAACUGAGACACGGUCCAGACUCCUACGGGAGGCAGCAGUAGGGAAUUUUGCGCAAUGGGCGAAAGCCUGACGGAGCAACGCCGCGUGAGUGAUGAAGGUCUUCGGAUCGUAAAACUCUGUUAUUAGGGAAGAACAAAUGUGUAAGUAAAUAUGCACGUCUUGACGGUACCUAAUCAGAAAGCCACGGCUAACUACGUG